CAUUUUCCAGUCCGGAUGUCGUACAGGGCCACUGAACCAUGCCGCGCCCCCACUGCUAUUCUGUGAUUCCGCUCGUAAUAGCUGACCAUGUAGAACCUGAAUUGAACAUUUUAAGGACAACAAAAACAAAAACCAGCAAUGACCUAGAGUGCUGCCCGAUGCCCUUCAGAAGAUCACCCAGCAGAUGGAUGAAGAUUGAAGGUAGAUGCAAAGCUGGAAGUCUUUGAAUAAAGGAGUACAGAGAUUCUUCCUUUGAUGUUUACUACUGAAAAGAAAGAUGUGAGCUGAGAGAACAAACACAUGUAUCAAACCAUCAACACACACAAUGCACUGUGUGCAUGCACAGGGGUUGGUGAUAUUGAAAGACUGAAGCAAACCAAGAUGGUAUGUUAACUGAAUAUUCUGAACACACCUGAAUCAAAUUUCACAAGAUCAAUAAAAUCACAGAAUGUUGGAGCUGGAAAGGAUUCCCAGGCAACAUUUCUGACAAGCAGUCAGCAAAGGAAAAGGAAUAUCUAUUUCCUGGGCAGCCUAUCUCACAUCUGGAAGGCACGAUUCAGAGGAAAAAGAACUGGACAGAAAACCCAAGGUCUAGGGCUAAAGCCAGACUUUCCCUGUGUUGUGUUUUCCUGUGAUGCUCUCUGGCAUCUGCCCCCAGAACAUCACUGUGAAGUAAGUGAUACAAGCACUUCACAAAUGAGAACUGAGGUCCAGAGAAGUUCACGGAUGUGCUGAGACAGUACUGUACUGCAGAGUCCCCAGUCCCCCAUGGGUGGUUUUGCAUUCUGUAGUUUGUUACCAGCAGUCAACUGUGGUCCAAAAUUAUUACAUGAAAAAUU